rnacentral:rRNA from 1 species
UACAGAGGGUGCAAGCGUUGUUCGGAAUUACUGGGCGUAAAGGGCUCGUAGGCGGCCCUCUCAGUCGGAUGUGAAAUCCCCAGGCUUAACCUGGGAACGGCAUCCGAUACUGGAGGGCUUGAAUUCGGGAGAGGGAUGCAGAAUUCCAGGUGUAGCGGUGAAAUGCGUAGAUAUCUGGAGGAAUACCGGUGGCGAAGGCGGCAUCCUGGACCGAGAUUGACGCUGAGGAGCGAAAGCUAGGGAGCAAACGGGG